GAGAAGGGCGUUUGGUGAAUGCCUUGGCAGUAAGAGGCGAUGAAGGACGUGAUACUCUGCGAUAAGCUGCGGUUAGCCGAGAAUAGGCUGUGAUCCGCGGAUCUCCGAAUGGGGCAACCCACCUGACAGUUUCAUAUUGUUGCGCAAAGAAA
rnacentral:rRNA from 1 species